rnacentral:rRNA from 1 species
GACGAACGCUGGCGGCGUGCUUAACACAUGCAAGUCGAACGGAAAGGCCCUGCUUUUGUGGGGUGCUCGAGUGGCGAACGGGUGAGUAACACGUGAGUAACCUGCCCUUGACUUUGGGAUAACUUCAGGAAACUGGGGCUAAUACCGGAUAGGAGCUCCUGCUGCAUGGUGUGGGUUGGAAAGUUUCGGCGGGUGGGGAUGGACUCGCGGCUUAUCAGCUUGUUGGUGGGGUAGUUGCUUACCAAGGCUUUGACGGGUAGCCGGCCUGAGAGGGUGACCGGCCACAUUGGGACUGAGAUACGGGCAAGACUCCUACGGGAGGCAGCAGUGGGGAUUAUUGCAAAAUGGGCGGAAGCCUGAUGCAGCAACGCCGCGUGCGAGAUGACGGCCUUCGGGUUGUAAACCGCUUUCGCCUGUGACGAAGCGUGAGUGACGGUAAUGGGUAAAGAAGCAACGGCUAACUACGUG